GCAGCAGAAACCCUGCCCUGUGAAGAGCAUUCUAGCAGUUGACACUAUGAAGGGGGCACUGCUUGUGCUGGCCUUGCUGGUGACCAGAGAGCUGGGCAUCAAGAUGGCGGAAGCUUGCCCGAGUUUUUAUGCAGUCCUUGGUGUGUUGUCCCUUGGAAGCAAGACACUGUUGGACACCUCCCUCAAUCUGGUCAAUGCUACUGAACCGGAAAAAGUAGCCAUGGGAAAAAUCCAGGAUUGCUACAAUGAGGCGGGAGUCAUAACCAAGAUCUCGGAUCUGAUCAUCAUGGUUAGGGGAGCUAGCAUUGCAGGAGUAGAUUUUUAACCUUUGGCUGGAAAGAAAGAGCUCAGCUCCUGCACAUGUAGGAGCUCCGGCAGCUCUAUUUUCGCAAUAUUAAAAAUGAGCACCUGCCUUUAGAUUCUUCCCAGGAAGAGACUCCCCGGCUUGGGUACUAUCACCACCAGCCCAGAAUGCAUCAGCCACGCACUGAGCACAUUGACGACGGAUGUUCAAGAAGGCAUUUCUAAGCUGAACCCUCUGGGGAGAUGAAUCUUUGUCUCUGAUGCCCAGCC